GGAAAACGCUGCUAUGAACAUGCCAAAGCAGCAGGUGGCACUAGAUUCCUAACCGUGCAGAAAUGUUGGCCAAUCAGAAGUCUAGAAGCCUCGGUGGGAAAAAGUAAACAAAGCUGCGGCAUAGAAGCAGAACCGAGUCGUAUGUGUGGACGGACAGUAACUGUGUAUAUGUAAGCAUUUAAACACUGCAGAGAGUAGAAUUAACAGUAACAGUAUUGUAGAAAUUCAUUUCACCGAAACAAUAACGUGGCGCACAGUGUGACGCAUGCACCAGUUUAUUGUAUUUCCAGACUUGCUUUCGGCACAAUUUACAGUGCACGCUACUCUGUUUUUUGUCAGACUUGAAAUAGCCGAAAUACCUUCACACUACGGAACUUCUAUGGCUCUUCCGUUUGACAAUCUCUCCGGCAUUGGAACCAUCAUCUGUUUUCUCUUCGGUCACGCUCGGUUGAUUUUUCUAGUCGGCACACUCAUUUCCUCCAUUACCCGCUGGCUGCUUCCCAAACAAACACACGUGCGGCUUGGCACUUGUGCUGUACGUAACAAGUCACGCGACGUGACGCUGCGGCUGUGAUUGGUUCGGCUCUGCGCUACUUAGUUUGGAUUGGCUGACCUUUUUUUUUUUUUUUUUUAAGAGGACAAGAGCAGCGAGGUCUAUCGCGAUAGCUUAAUUUCUCUAUCGAGUAAAAGUUAUAUCGCGAUACAUAUCGUUAUCGUUCUAUCGCCCAGCUCUACAGCUAAUUAAUUAUCUUGAGUUGAUUCAACUGCUAUUAGCUUAAAGGUGGGAUACAGACUGACAAACAAUCAUUCACAAACACAGUCAACUUUGAAUCGCUAAUUAAGCUAACCCAUGCAUUUCUUUGGACAGUGGGAGGAAGUGACUGAGUCAGCUGCUUUCACAGCUGUUUGCAUUGUAAUAUCUGUUCUGAACUUAAAGUUUUUAGCUAAAAAAAUACCAUUGACAUUAUAAUAAAUAAAAAAAUUAAACUAAUGAAAACUAAAGUAAACAAAACAACAAAUUAAA
ensembl:lncRNA